rnacentral:misc_RNA from 1 species
UCCGGUUUGUCACCGGCAGUCUCAUUAGAGUGCCCUUUCGUAGCAACUAAUGACAAGGGUUGCGCUCGUUGCGGGACUUAACCCAACAUCUCACGACACGAGCUGACGACAGCCAUGCAGCACCUGUGCACGGGCUCCGAAGAGGGCCCGCCGUUUCUGGCGGGUUUCCCGUGUAUGUCAAGCCUAGGUAAGGUUCUUCGCGUUGCGUCGAAUUAAACCACAUGCUCCACCGCUUGUGCGGGCCCCCGUCAAUUCCUUUGAGUUUCAGCCUUGCGGCCGUACUCCCCAGGCGGGGUACUUAUUGCGUUAGCGACGGCACUGAAGGGGUCGCUCCCCCCAGCGCCUAGUACCCAUCGUUUACGGCGUGGACUAC